UACGUAGGGUGCAAGCGUUAAUCGGAAUUACUGGGCGUAAAGCGUGCGCAGGCGGUUCUAUAAGACAGAUGUGAAAUCCCUGGGCUCAACCUGGGAACUGCAUUUGUGACUGUAGAGCUGGAGUGCGGCAGAAGGGGGAUGGAAUUCCGCGUGUAGCAGUGAAAUGCGUAGAUAUGCGGAGGAACACCGAUGGCGGAAGGCAAUCCCCUGGGCCUGCACUGACGCUCAUGCACGAAAGCGUGGGGAGCAAACAGG
rnacentral:rRNA from 1 species